AGGUGAUUCUGAAUUAAGGCAUUGGCUAUCAAUCUAAUAUUGAUAUAGCGGUCCUGACGUGCAAAUCGGUCGUCCGACCUGGGUAUAGGGGCGAAAGACUAAUCGAAACCAUCUAGUAG
rnacentral:ncRNA from 1 species